CUGACGGCCAAGACCAAAUUAUCCAUUGUGGGCCAGAGUAAUUGAAAGUCUUUCAUAUACCAUGUUAAGGGAGCUGAAGUUGUGAAGAUGGCCACUGAUGCUGGCUAGUAUCACACAUACUGCAUAUGUGCAUAUUAUAACAAGAAUAAAGUGGGGGAAAAUCCAUCUCCUAGAAGAUCUAGGAGAAGGCUAGAAGUUGGAACACCUUCUCUUUAUGAGAGAGUUUUGGUAUAGCUUCUUUGAAAGAAAACUGUUGAUGGGAGCCUUACACAAGAGUCUUACAGCUCUCAGCCUGCAACUAGGAAAGAAUUAUUUCCCAAAGACAAUAAGGACAAGUUUUUCCCUUGUAAAAUUAUAUUCUUGGACACCUGGGUAGUUAGAACACAUGUAUUGGGUGCAUGUUGGGAAAUUCUUGAGCAUCUCCAACUUCAGCCACUUCCAGACUGAAUGGCUCUUUGUGAGACCGGGACUGAAACUUAUCACUCAGACCUCUUUCAGGACAAACAUAUCGUGUAUGGUUACUUCAGGGAGAUAACCUGUAUAGCUUAUACCCCCUGGCCUCUCCAUUUAGAUACAAGGCCAUAUCAGAGGUCACAUCAUUAUUGGAUAAUUCAAGGAAUAACAAGAUUUCUACAAAGUAUCAGAGUACUCCAUCUCAAGAUCUGAUUUUUCUGAUUCAAUUCUAUAUACAGAGAAAUAUGGUGGUGAUCCCUGUGUCUGUACCACAAACCAGCAUGUAUGAGGAUUUUCAGGUUUUUGCCUUCAAGUUGAAUGACAAGGACAUGGCUAACAGUUUCACCUUCAACAGAAUCUGGGGUGUCUUCCUAUUUGCC
rnacentral:lncRNA from 1 species